UACGUAGGGCGCAAGCGUUGUCCGGAAUCAUUGGGCGUAAAGCGCGCGUAGGCGGCUCGUAAAGUCGGUCGUGAAAUGCCGGGGCUCAACCCCGGGACUGCGUCCGAUACUCCCGAGCUGGAGUACGGUAGGGGCAGAGGGAAUUUCCGGUGGAGCGGUGAAAUGCAUUGAGAUCGGAAAGAACACCAACGGCGAAAGCACUCUGCUGGGCCGACACUGACACUGAGAGACGAAAGCUAGGGGAGCAAAUGGG
rnacentral:rRNA from 1 species